UAAGCUCGUCCUCUCUUCUUCCCCAAGAUGUUGUUCUUUAAUCCCCAAUACCUGUGAAUAUUUUACUUGACAUGGUAAUAGACUUUGCAGAUGUGAUUAAAGGUAUAGGUGCUGAGUUAGGCAAAUUAUUCUUUAUUUUCCAGGUGGGUUCUUUCUUAUUGCAUGAAUCCUUAAAAACAGAAAAUUGUUCCUGGGCGUAGUCACAGAUCGAUGUGAAGAUAGAAGACAGCACCAGAAUCAAUGAACUCUGCAAAGAUCCUGGACUCCUUCUCCUGCUGCAUAAUAAAGGAAGUGAAAUUCUGCUUCAUCGAUGAAUAACAGGAUUUUAUAUAAAACUUUGAAUGACAUAGGAGGGACAAUUUGCAUAGAACAACAAGUCCUCAAACUGGCCACAAGCUGUCUGCACUGUUAUUUGAGGAUUUCCAAAAUGCCAGAAGGUGCACUAACAGCUGUAGAUACUUGAGUCAACAAGAAACUUCUGUACUUUUUCUCUCAAGGUCAUACAGCCCUGAAUCUGAUAGCAACAGAGCUUCAGCAAUAACAGCAGAUGCCAUCUUAGAUUAAUAUGAUGUCAGAAGUGGGAUCCAAAGUAGAGGUUCUAACGACCCCCAAGAACACUGAGUGACCAAACAAGGUACCUGCUGGACUCACUUGUGUCUGCUGAUCUUUCAGGGCAGCUGGGGAUUGUGGGCAGUUGCACAACCUGGAGGCUGGCAUCAUGGGGUCAUUUAGGAUUGAAUCUGAAGGAGCCGCUGUGGUGGAAAUGAAAUCCCUGCACAAAAGAAGCUGGGGCUGAACUAUCAUAUUCUCCUGGAAGUAGUGGUAGGAAAGAGAUAUUUAUUUUCGGGACCCAGUACCUCUGAACACUUAUUUUAGCUGUUUACUGCAGCUAUGCUUUCUUGAAAGAGAUAUGCAGGAAGGAUGGAAAAGUGUCUAUUAGCCUUUUAAUUUUCUCUUCUGAGAAAUUCCAAAAACUGUUUUUUUUUUUCAACUAAUCUAUGCAAUUAGCAUCGUUCACUUAGCUUCUCAGCUUACUUAGUGGACUUUUUCACUACAAAAAUAAUCAUAUCAAAAUUUAAUUUAUGAACAAUAAUUUGCUCCAUUUAAGUGUACAGUUCUGAAUUUUCACAAAUGUUUACACCCAUGUAACAAUUGUCAUGUUCAAAAUAGAAGGAGACUAUUUACAUCACCCCCACCCCUGCCCCGCAACAAAAUCUCUAUGCUCCUUCUCUGUCUAUUCUUCCUUCCCAGAACAUCUUAGCAAAUGCUGAUAAUGAUUUCUAUCACUAUGGAUAAAAUUAGUCUUUUCCUGAGUUUUCAUAGGUUUUUCUUGUCUGUUUCUUCCCCUGAAAGUUUGCAUUUAUAUCUAUGUUUUCUAUUUUUUAUUACAUUUUAAAAAAUAUUUAAUGUAUACUCAGUUUAAGAAUUAAUUAUUGAAAUUUAUUCCUUCUUCCCAAACAGUAAAGUAACAUAAAAUCAUUUAGCUCUGCACACAGUAUUUCAAAUGUAGAUAAUAUUAGGUCAAGCAUUUUUUUUUUUUUUUUUGGUAAGUCUUACUAUUUUAAACCUCCUUCUUAGUAUUGUUAUUGUUGUUAUUUUAUAUUUAGUCACUGAUAGAAUUUCUAAAUAUUUUUCAUCUUGCUUUUUUUCAUUAUUUCUUGCCUUGCAGACCUUCUUUCUGGGCUCAAAGCCUUCCUACCUAAAUCACAACUUUUAGAAUUUCUUUUAGUAGAGGCCUUUUGAUUAAAAAGAAAUUUUUUUUGAAAAUGUUUUUAUUUUAUCACUGCUUUUAACAGAUAGUUGAGCAUGGCAUAUGAUUUGUGAUUGACAGUUACUUUCCUUGAAAAUUGAAAACAUUUUUCUAUUGUCUAAUAGCCUCUAUUUUUAUGGUAAAAUACCUCUCAAUAAAAUCAUCAUUUCUCCAUAGAAAAACUUUUCUUUGCUCCCUCAGGUGCUUUUAUAAUCUUUGGCCUGCAAUGUUAUUUGAAGUGUGAAUGUCUUCUAAUUUUUCUGACUCAAUGUCAUUGGCUUUCCUGAGUAUGAAGAUUAAGGUUUAUCACCAGUUUGAAGAAAUGCUUAGUGAUUUUUAAAAAUCUACCCAGGUAUAUCAUAGAUCUUGUAGCCUAUGUGUCUCAUAAAAAUCCCUUUUCUUUAUUUAUCUCCCUUGCAUUCUGAAUAAUUUUGUCAAUUCUACUUACUAGUCCAUUAUUAUUUUAUUCCUUGGUGUCAAAUAUAAUGUUCUACCCAUGAUAUGCAUCUUUAAUUUCAAUACUAUAUUUCUGGAAGUUCUAUUUAAUUCUGUUUUGAGACCUCUAGCUAAGUUUUAAUACCUG
rnacentral:lncRNA from 10 species